rnacentral:tRNA from 1 species
GGAGAGGUGGCUGAGUGGUUGAAAGCGAUAGACUGUAAAUCUAUUUAUAAUAUGAAAUAAUCGUAGGUUCGAAUCCUACCUUCUUCA